rnacentral:rRNA from 1 species
GAUGAACGCUGGCGGCGUGCCUAAUACAUGCAAGUCGAGCGAACGGACGAGAAGCUUGCUUCUCUGAUGUUAGCGGCGGACGGGUGAGUAGCACGUGGAUAACCUACCUAUAAGACUGGGAUAACUUCGGGAAACCGGAGCUAAUACCGGAUAAUAUUUUGAACCGCAUGGUUCAAAAGUGAAAGACGGUCUUGCUGUCACUUAUAGAUGGAUCCGCGCUGCAUUAGCUAGUUGGUAAGGUAACGGCUUACCAAGGCAACGAUGCAUAGCCGACCUGAGAGGGUGAUCGGCCACACUGGAACUGAGACACGGUCCAGACUCCUACGGGAGGCAGCAGUAGGGAAUCUUCCGCAAUGGGCGAAAGCCUGACGGAGCAACGCCGCGUGAGUGAUGAAGGUCUUCGGAUCGUAAAACUCUGUUAUUAGGGAAGAACAAAUGUGUAAGUAACUGUGCACAUCUUGACGGUACCUAAUCAGAAAGCCACGGCUAACUACGUG